AAUAAGUUGAUGGGUGAUUUAUAGUCGUCAAUGAGGUGAGUGGGAAGUUAAUACAUUCGUGGUGGGCAAUGAAGGGUUUAAGUGAGGGAUUAAUUGGAUUAACAUGUGUUGAUGGUGGAGAGUUGGUGGAAAAGAAAUAACGGUGAGGUAGGUGGGCGUUAAAUGGCUAUGAAUGACAUGAAAUAGGCUCUUUAGCUUCAACGGUUUUGUCUUCUCUUCUCCCUCUUUACUUCUCUUUACAAUCACAAUAAUCCCACAAUCAAUUCUUCAAUAAAAAUCCG
rnacentral:lncRNA from 1 species